ensembl:snRNA Gm22809 U1 spliceosomal RNA
GUACUUACCUGGCAGGGGAAACACUAUGAUCAGGAAGAUAGUUUUCCCAAGCGAGGCACACCCAUUGCACUUGGGAUGUGCUGACCCGUGAUUUUCCCAAAUCUAGGAUACUCGACUAUGUGAUUUAUGGUAUGGAGGACUGUGUCUACAUUUAUCCCUU